UUUACCGUUACCGCGUUGCCUCGGCGGGCCCACUGGGGCCUGGCCCCGGUCGCCGGGGGGCUUCUGCCCCCGGGCCCGCGCCCGCCGACGCACCCUAGAACCCUGCCUGAAUAGUGAGUCUGAGUGAGAUUUGAAAUCAUUAAAACUUUCAACAACGGAUCUCUUGGUUCCGGCAUCGAUGAAGAACGCAGCGAAAUGCGAUAAGUAAUGUGAAUUGCAGAAUUCCGUGAAUCAUCGAAUCUUUGAACGCACAUUGCGCCCCCUGGCAUUCCGGGGGGCAUGCCUGUCCGAGCGUCAUUUCUGCCCUCCAGCACGGCUGGGUGUUGGGCGCUGUCCCCCCGGGGACACGCCCCAAAAGCAGUGGCGGCGCCGCGUCGGGUCCUCGAGCGUAUGGGGCUUUGUCACCCGCUCGGGAGGGACUCGGUCGGCGCUGGUCUUCCCUUUAGGCCGCCCUUCGGGGUGCGCCUCUUCCGGUUGACCUCGGAUCAGGUAGGGCUACCCGCUGAACUUAAGCAUAUCAAUAA
rnacentral:rRNA from 1 species